GAGCCAUGUGACGAGCGGCGGCCUCGCUCCCCCCGGCGCGUUGGCGGGGCGCAGCGCAGCCCGCUCCAGGCGGGGAGGCUGGCGACGCCGCCCUGCUCCUCCCGCGGCCAGCGCUGCCUGCUCAUUUGCCUGGCUUACCCCCCCUCCAUCCCCCACAACUGGCUCGUGUUUUUUUUUUUUUUUGAGGGGGGGACGACGACGACGACUGUUGUUUGUUCCUCUUUUUUUUUUUCUUUCUCUGCAUUAGGCUACUUUCAUCUUUCGUGAUCAGGACGCGAAGCGCCGCCAGGCAGUGGGGGAGAGCCCGCCUCGCCGCCGCCCCAGCCCUGAGGAGAACGCGGCGCCGAAGGAGAAGCCAUGAUGGCGGCUACCCUCACACAACAUGGAGCGCGACCGGGAGCGCCCUGCCCGCCGCCAGCCGCCCCUCCCGGCGCCCGGGACACGGUGCUUCCGCAGGCUUUCACAUAAUAAAACCACCAGACUUCGGCGGGAGGCCAUUUCAUGGGCUGGGUGGCUGCACUAAAGCACAACUGCUGUGAAUAUCAACUGCGUCACGGCUCUCCAACUGUAAAACUCAGGCUGCAAAGGGUCCCUCACUUGGAAGGAAACUCCCUCAUUUUGGAUUUACUUCCAGACCUCCUUUUUCCCCCCUCUCUCCAAGUCACUGCCUCUCGGUAUGAAGGAUUUUACAGUGCUUUUUAGUGAGACAUCCGCCAUUAAGACUCACCGUCGUGAAAAAACACCCCCCCCCCAUUUUGUUGCUUUUUUUUGGUUCGAGCUUCUGUAAUUAGACGGAUAAAACAUGGUAGGGAUCCCUACCGUCACCACCACCGCCGCCUUUUCGCCUUUUUUAAAAUCAACCUCAGUAAUAUCUUACUGUUCACAGGCAGAUUUUUUUUUUUGUGCGUUCAAUUUAACAGUCACGUAACGCCUGCAAUGGAUUCACGGCGUCUCUCCGCAAAAAAAAAAAAACCCAGGGCUGCGGACGACCAAGCGCUUUGUGCAGAAAGAGAAAUCCCUCCCUGAAAAUAGACGUUUCAGAGACGCUGUUAGAUGUAUCUGAGGAGAAGGAGAUCGCCACCGCUCAUACAGACGACCAUUAGGAUCUUUCCGCCCAGGACAAUAACACUAGCCGCACAGGCCUGGUCUAUAUGUUUCUCUGCAAGGGCAAAAGGGUUUACUUACCCGCGCACCAUAGUUGAAUGCAGCUCUGAAGGUGAAGUUGUUACGCUUUUUUAAAAUAACGGCUAUAAAUAUAUAUGAUCUGUAUCACCA